UACAGAGGGUGUGAGCGUUGUUCGGAAUUAUUGGGCGUAAAGGGCGCGUAGGCGGCGCGGUAUGUCACCUGUGAAAUCUCCUGGCUCAACUGGGAGCUUGCAGGCGAAACUGCCGUGCUGGAGUGUGGGAGAGGUGCGUGGAAUUCCUGGUGUAGCGGUGAAAUGCGUAGAUAUCUGGAGGAACACCGGUGGCGAAGGCGGCAUCCUGGACCGGCAUUGACGCUGAGGAGCGAAAGCCAGGGGAGCAAACGGG
rnacentral:rRNA from 1 species